rnacentral:sRNA from 1 species
ACUUUCUUUCCAACAGCAUAGCGCAGUGGGUUAGAGGGUUUAAUACGAAUCUGAAGCAGAAGCCGCUGAUCCAAUAGAGAGUCGUUUUGGCAGGGCGUCUUCCACAGACUGCUUUUUGGUAAUAAUGUACUUGAAGCCCUCAUACACUGACCACGAAAUGGCCGUGGCAGGCAUCUGAAAUAUCACUCGUGCUGUGAGCCCCUUGAAAAACCCGCGAACGCCUUGGAACUCAUAAACUGUUCGAAAUGCUGACACCAUGCCAUUGAUGUAAGAUGCGUGAGUCCUUGUGCAUCUCUCCUGAGUGUUGAGGAGCGUUUUACAGACAUCUAACGGCAUCGUCACUGUGGCUGCCACAGCUCCUGCAGCACCACCAGACACCACCCAUACCUGUGUUGAGAAGAGAUAUCUGACUCUUUAAAAAAUUGUGGCAACUAACUUACCAUCAACAGGAACCAUCACAGAAUCAUGAAAUUGCAAAAGGAAAGUUUUUUCCAUUAAUUUGGAUAAGAGAAUGACAACCCAUAUGCAAUGCAACAGGUACACAGAUAUAGCAGUGAAGACAGGAGUGACCACAUGCACAGAUUUAAAGGAGGGCAAAAUGAGAUAAAAGGAGAACUAACAGCCCAAACAAUGAUAUCGUCAUGGAAAUGAUCUUUGACCUCUGACCCUUUACAAAAAACAUAUAGUAAACAACUUCCUGCCUCAAGUUUUAACAGUCAAUCUAUAGAACAGGAAGUAAAAGGAAUUGCGUCUAUUUGUGAUCACCCUUCUUACUCAAAAUGUCAUUCUACAUAGAUGACAAAUUGAUAUGUAUAUAUAAAAUUAAAACUUUUUCAAGGAUUUUGCCAAUGAUAAACAUGUACAUAUUUUGAAUUUGUUGGAAGGAAAAAAUAUUCAGAAUGAGAUACAUUCUAGACUGUUGCUUUUAUUUCAGUGAAUAAUGACAUUCUGAG